GAUGAACGCUAGCGGCAGGCUUAAUACAUGCAAGUCGAGGGGCAGCGGGGGUAGCAAUACCUGCCGGCGACCGGCAAACGGGUGCGGAACACGUACAGAACCUUCCUUUAAGUGGGGGAUAGCCCGAAGAAAUUCGGAUUAAUACCCCGUAAUAUUAUGGAGUGGCAUCACUUAAUAAUUAAAGAUUUAUCGCUUAGAGAUGGCUGUGCGGCUGAUUAGGUAGUUGGUGUAGGUAACGGCUCACCAAGCCUUCGAUCAGUAGCUGGUCUGAGAGGAUGAUCAGCCACACUGGGACUGAGACACGGCCCAGACUCCUACGGGAGGCAGCAGUUAGGAAUCUUGGACAAUGGGCGCAAGCCUGAUCCAGCCAUGCCGCGUGAGUGAUGAAGGCCUUAGGGUUGUAAAGCUCUUUCAGCGGGAAGAUAAUGACGGUACCGCAGAAGAAGCCCGGCUAACUUCGUGCCAGCAGCCGCCGUAAG
rnacentral:rRNA from 1 species